rnacentral:rRNA from 1 species
UACGUAUGGGGCAAGCGUUAUCCGGAUUUACUGGGUGUAAAGGGAGCGCAGGCGGCAAGGCAAGUCAGAAGUGAAAACCCGGGGCUCAACCCCGCGGAUUGCUUUUGAGACUGUUUAGCUGGAGUGCAGGAGGGGCAAGCGGAAUUCCUAGUGUAGCGGUGAAAUGCGUAGAUAUUAGGAAGAACACCGGUGGCGAAGGCGGCUUGCUGGACUGUAACUGACGCUGAGGCUCGAAGGCGUGGGGAGCA